UGUGACCUCAAAUCAGGUAGGACUACCCGCUGAACUUAAGCAUAUCAAUAAGCGGAGGAAAAGAAACUAACAAGGAUUCCCCUAGUAACUGCGAGUGAAGCGGGAAAAGCUCAAAUUUAAAAUCUGGCGGUCUUUUGGCUGUCCGAGUUGUAAUCUAGAGAAGUGUUAUCCGCGCUGGACCGUGUACAAGUCUCCUGGAAUGGAGCAUCAUAGAGGGUGAGAAUCCCGUCUUUGACAUGGACUGCCAGGGCUUUGUGAUGCGCUCUCAAAGAGUCGAGUUGUUUGGGAAUGCAGCUCAAAAUGGGUGGUAAAUUCCAUCUAAAGCUAAAUAUUGGCGAGAGACCGAUAGCGAACAAGUACCGUGAGGGAAAGAUGAAAAGAACUUUGGAAAGAGAGUUAAACAGUACGUGAAAUUGCUGAAAGGGAAACSCUUGAAGUCAGUCGCGUUGUCCAGGGAUCAACCUUGCUUUUGCCUGGUGCACUUCCUGGUUCGACGGGUCAGCAUCAAUUUUGAUCGUUGGAAAAAGGCCAAGGGAAUGUGGCAUCUUCGGAUGUGUUAUAGCCCUUUGUCACAUACAAUGGUUGGGAUUGAGGAACUCAGCACGCCGCAAGGCCGGG
rnacentral:rRNA from 1 species